AAUAGAUACCCGGGUAGUCCACGCCCUAAACGAUGUCAACUAGCUGUUGGGGCCUUCGGGCCUUGGUAGCGCAGCUAACGCGUGAAGUUGACCGCCUGGGGAGUACGGUCGCAAGAUUAAAACUCAAAGGAAUUGACGGGGACCCGCACAAGCGGUGGAUGAUGUGGAUUAAUUCGAUGCAACGCGAAAAACCUUACCUACCCUUGACAUGUCUGGAAUGCCGAAGAGAUUUGGCAGUGCUCGCAAGAGAACCGGAACACAGGUGCUGCAUGGCUGUCGUCAGCUCGUGUCGUGAGAUGUUGGGUUAAGUCCCGCAACGAGCGCAACCCUUGUCAUUAGUUGCUACGAAAGGGCACUCUAAUGAGACUGCCGGUGACAAACCGGAGGAAGGUGGGGAUGACGUCAAGUCCUCAUGGCCCUUAUGGGUAGGGCUUCACACGUCAUACAAUGGUCGGGACAGAGGGUCGCCAACCCGGCGAGGGGGAGCCAAUCCCAGAAACCCGAUCGUAGUCCGGAUCGCAGUCUGCAA
rnacentral:rRNA from 1 species